rnacentral:rRNA from 1 species
CGUGUCGUGAGAUGUGGUUAAGUCCCGCAACGAGCGCAACCCCUAUUGUUAGUUGCCAUCAUUCAGUUGGGCACUCUAGUGAGACUGCCGGUAAUAAACCGGAGGAAGGUGGGGAUGACGUCAAAUCAUCAUGCCCCUUAUGACCUGGGCUACACACGUGCUACAAUGGUUGGUACAACGAGUUGCGAGUCGGUGACGGCGAGCUAAUCUCUUAAAGCCAAUCUCAGUUCGGAUUGUAGGCUGCAACUCGCCUACAUGAAGUCGGAAUCGCUAGUAAUCGCGGAUCAGCACGCCGCGGUGAAUACGUUCCCGGGCCCUU